rnacentral:tRNA from 1 species
GGGGGUGUAGCUCAAGUGGUAAAGCACAUGCCCAACAUGCACAAGGUCCUGGGUUCAAUCCCCAGUACCUCCA